UCCCUCCCAAAGUUGUGCACUUGGUCAAAGAGGACAACCUUCCCUGAUAGAGGAGGACCAUGCUUCUCUCAAGGGGUAUACGGAUAGCAGCUAGAACCUCCACCAAGCUCAUAACUAAUUAUUGAUGUCUAUUAUAGUACCUGGUAGUAUAAGU
rnacentral:sRNA from 1 species